rnacentral:rRNA from 1 species
UACGUAGGGUGCAAGCGUUGUUCGGAUUUACUGGGCGUAAAGGGCGUGCAGGCGGUCUGUUUAGUCUAGGGUGAAAGCUCCCGGCUCAACUGGGAGAGGUCCUUGGAUACUGGCAGACUUGAGGGAGGUAGAGGAGAGUGGAAUUCCCGGUGUAGUGGUGAUAUGCGUAGAUAUCGGGAGGAACACCAGUGGCGAAGGCGGCUCUCUGGGUCUUACCUGACGCUGAGACGCGAAAGCGUGGGGAGCGAACCGG